AGAAAAGAAUGUGAAAGAGAAAGUGUGUAUAAGAGAAGAGUAUGUCAGAGAAGAAAAGAAAGUGUGCAAGAAAAGAAUGUGUAAGAAAAAAAAAAAGAGAGAAUAUACAAGAGAAGAGUAUAAGACAAAGAGAAAAAGAAAGAGAAAGAGAUUGUAUAUGCAAGAAAAAAAAGAUUUUACAAGAAAAGAAUGUGAAAAAAAGAAUAUAUGCAAGAGAAGAGUGUGAAAGAGAAAGAAAGAAAUUAUAUAAAAAAAAAUAUAUGCAAAAAAUAAGUGUCUGAGAAAAAAAAAUGUACAAGAGAGGAGUAUGAGAGAGAGAGAGAAAGAAUGUGUGUGCAAUAAAAGAAAGAGGGAUUGUAUGGGAAAAAAAAAAAAAAAAAAAAAAAAAAAACUAUUUGAAAGGAGUGUGAGAGAGAAAGUGGUUGCAAUUGAAUAUUAUAAGAGAGAAAGAAAGCGAAUUUGAAAGAGAAAGAAAGAUUGUAAAAAUGUACAAGAAAGGAGUUUGAGAUUGUAAAGAG
rnacentral:lncRNA from 1 species